rnacentral:rRNA from 1 species
GGUUUUAACCCGCUUUUAGUAAGGAAGAAAGGGGAGCUUUGCUCUGACGGUACUUGCAGAAAAAGGACCGGCUAACUACGUGCCCAGCAGCCGCGGUAAUACGUAGGGUCCGAGCGUUGUCCGGAAUUAUUGGGCGUAAAGAGCUCGUAGGCGGUUUGUCACGUCUGCUGUGAAAUCCCGAGGCUCAACCUCGGGUCUGCAGUGGGUACGGGCAGACUGGAGUGCGGUAGGGGAGAAUGGAAUUCCUGGUGUAGCGGUGGAAUGCGCAGAUAUCAGGAGGAACACCGGUGGCGAAGGCAGUUCUCUGGGCCGUAACUGACGCUGAGGAGCGAAAGCGUGGGGAGCGAACAGGAUUAGAUACCCUGGUAGUCCACGCCGUAAACGUUGGGCGCUAGAUGUGGGGACCCUUCCACGGUUUCCGUGUCGUAGCUAACGCAUUAAGCGCCCCGCCUGGGGAGUACGGCCGCAAGGCUAAAACUCAAAGGAAUUGACGGGGGCCCGCACAAGCGGCGGAGCAUGCGGAUUAAUUCGAUGCAACGCGAAGAACCUUACCAAGGCUUGACAUGACCGAGAACGCCGCAGAAAUGUGGAACUCUUUGGACACUCGGUUACAGGUGGUGCAUGGUUGUCGUCAGCUCGUGUCGUGAGAUGUUGGGUUAAGUCCCGCAACGAGCGCAACCCUCGUCGUAUGUUGCCAGCACGUGAUGGUGGGAACUCAUAUGAGACUGCCGGGGUCAACUCGGAGGAAGGUGGGGAUGACGUCAAAUCAUCAUGCCCCUUAUGUCUUGGGCUUCACGCAUGCUACAAUGGCCGGUACAAAGGGCUGCGAUGUCGUAAGGCGGAGCGAAUCCCAAAAAGCCGGUCUCAGUUCGGAUUGAGGUCUGCAACUCGACCUCAUGAAGUCGGAGUCGCUAGUAAUCGCAGAUCAGCAACGCCGCGGUGAAUACGUUCCCGGG